UGAUAAAACACUUGAUUGCCUCUGUUCUCUGCUUCUGGCAAAAUCCUGUUAAUAAACUGUUGAAGACUACUUUGAGGAAUCCGUGAAUUCAUGACAUGGUGUCAGAACUGGGAUCUUUCGCCUGUGAACAAGUUUGAAGCAACGAGAUGGCUAAGUUUCAGUCUCCUGAAUCAUUUGACUUCACCCAGCCUUCGGCGUGGCCGAUCUGGAGACAGCGUUUUUCCCGUUUUCGGAUAGCAACUAAGCUGAACCAAGAAGACGACGAUAUACAAGUAAAUACGCUGUUAUAUGCAAUGGGGAAAGAGUCGGAACCUAUCUUUAGCACGUUUACAUUCCCAGAUGAUGUGCAGCACUAUUAUGAAGAGGUUUUGAAAAAGUUUGACGAACAUUUUGUGCCAAAGCGAAAUACGAUACAUGAACGUGCCUGUUUCCAUAGACGCUCACAGCUCCAUGGGGAGAGCAUGGAAGCGUUUGUCAGAGAGCUUUACAAGCUUGCAGAGCACUGCGAUUUUGGAGCAACUAAAGAUGAACAGAUUAGGGAUCGCAUUUGACACAUCAAGCAAGAAAAAUGUGCACAAGAUGUGGGAGACAGCAUGAUUACGGUGCAUGUCCAGCUACAGGUAAACGCUGCCGCAAAUGCAAUAAAACAGGACAUUUUGAAGCACUGUGCAAAACUAAGAAUGUGAAUGCAACUACAGAUGGUGAUAGUGAUGAGGGUAGUGCUUGGUUUCUCGGGGCUGUUGCUGAUGGCAGUGAAUGUGAUGAGGACAAAUGGUAUGAAGACCUACAAAUCAAUGGCACAACUGUUACGUUCCGGAUUGAUACAGGCGCGGAUGUAACGGUUAUUCCUGAGGAAACAUAUUUAUCCCUGCAACAUCGCCCUCUUCUGGUGAUGACAAAAUCAACCUUCACAAGCCCAGGUGGAAAGCUCGUGUGUAAAGGCAAGUUUAUGACACAUUGUGAAAAACAUGGAGAGACUUUCCCAUUUUGGAUUUAUGUUAUGUCAGGCCCCUUCACAACAAACUUACUUGGACAGAAAACUGCAAUCAAAAUGGGACUAGUGCGCAGAGUAAAUGGACUUGAGUCAUUCGAUGAUGUAUUUGGGAACAUUGGACUGUUAAACUGUGAGCCAGUCAAAAUAGAGCUUAGGCCGGACGCCGAGCCAUACAGCAUUGUAACCCCACAGCGCAUCCCAUUUCCAAUCCUACCUCAAGUGGAGGAGGAACUGAAGCGAAUGCAGUCUCUUGGCAUCAUAGAAGAAGUAAAGGAAGCCACAGACUGGUGUGCUCCUAUGGUGCCAGUGAUUAAAAAGAAUAAGAAACCUCGGAUCUGUGUGGAUCUUACAAAACUGAAUAAAGCUGUUAAAAGAGAAAGGUUUAUCCUGCCCACGUUAGAGGAUAUUGCACCAAAAUUGUCAGGCGCAACAGUGUUCUCCACAGUGGAAGCAUCAAGUGGGUUUUGGCAGAUCCCACUCGAUGAGCGCAGCAGGAAACAUACAACCUUUAUAACU
ensembl:lncRNA